UACGUAGGGUGCGAGCGUUAAUCGGAAUUACUGGGCGUAAAGCGUGCGCAGGCGGUUCGUUGUGUCGGCGGUGAAAGCCCCGGGCUUAACCUGGGAAUGGCCGUUGAAACUGGCGAACUGGAGUGUGGCAGAGGGGGUGGAAUUCCGCGUGUAGCAGUGAAAUGCGUAGAGAUGCGGAGGAACACCGAUGGCGAAGGCAGCCCCUGGGCUAACACUGACGCUCAGGCACGAAAGCGUGGGGAGCAAACAGG
rnacentral:rRNA from 1 species